CCUACGGGAGGCAGCAGUGGGGAAUUUUGCGCAAUGCUCGUAAGAGUGACGCAGCGACGCCGCGUGAAUGACGAAGGCCUUCGGGUCGUAAAGUUCUUUCGACAGGGAAGAAAAUGCCUAUAAGUAACCGUGUACGUAUUGACGGUACCUGCAUAAGCAGCCCCGGCUAACUCCGUGCCAGCAGCCGCGGUAAUACGGAGGGGGCGAGCGUUGUUCGGAGUGACUGGGCGUAAAGAGCACGUAGGCGGUGUUGUAAAUCAUUAGUCAAAGACUAGAGCUCAACUUUAGUAAGGCUAGUGAUACUAUAAUGCUAGAGUAUCAGAGAGGAUUGCAGAAUGCCUGGUGUAGCGGUGAAAUGCGUAGAUAUCAGGAGGAAUACCGUUGGCGAAGGCGGCAAUCUGGCUGGAAACUGACGCUGAGGUGCGAAAGCGUGGGUAGCAAACAGGAUUAGAUACCCCAGUAGUC
rnacentral:rRNA from 1 species